AUGACCUGAGCCCAGGUCGGACGCUUAACCGACUGAGCCACCCAGGCGCCCCAGGCAGGAUAUUUUAAGGGGAUCAGAAGGAACAUCUCCUUUAAUCUGGCCUCAAAAUCUUUACCUGCUGCUUAAAUGGUCUUAAUAAUGCCUCCUGAAUUAGCCCGUGACUCAUUUCACUCCAGAAUUUAUAAAUAGCGCUGACCAUUUUUACCAGGAUAGGAAACAGAAGGGAACAGAUAAUCUCUAUAAACAUAGGGAUUAACUUUUUUUUUUUAAUCGUCACAGCAGGAUCUGUAUCAAAAGUUUUCAUGAACUUAGGGUCCUGCAUUUCAGAUAAAAGCUGGGGAAGGGCGGAGGGGAGAGCCGGUGGGACUUGGGGCGAGGCGGUGGGAGCCAUGGAGGACUCCGUGGGCAGGGACACGGCGUGCAUCGACCUAUCUCCUGCACCUUCAGGCCCCUGCCCCCACAGGGCCCGCUGGGGCAUGCUGGUAAGACAGGCAGCUGUCUGUCUGGGCUGAGGGGCGCCAACACCAGGCAGACGGCACAGAGUUUUACCCGCAUGGACCUGUGCCGGGCAGGACACGGGAGCUGGCGUCCGACUCGUCGAGGCGAGUGUCACAGGGAAGCCUGUUCUGGAUCCCUCACCUGAGGUCCAAGGCACUGAGCUACGCCCGGCUGGGGGCACAGGGUUGGGCCGAACUUUUCAGAAAGAGGGGAUGGCUCAGCAUGGGAGAGACUGACAGCAAUCAGCACCUCUUGGAAGACUUGGCCCAGAACCUCGCAGGAAAUGGGCAAAGGCCUUUCAGAUCGAUCUGGAACCGACACAAGCACACUGAAUCACCACGAAGACCAAAGUGGUGACGGAGCCCUGAAGACCAAAGAGCGUGGAGAGGCUGCUAUGACCUCACAGCCCAGGUAAGUCUUAAAAAGCCAUGGUACCCAAAGGAAUACUACGUGCCAAUGAGAAAGAAUGAAAUCUGGCCCUUUGCAGCAACGUGGUUGGAACUGGAGAGUGUUGUACUAAGUGAAAUAAGCCAUACAGAGAAAGACA